rnacentral:rRNA from 1 species
GUCGAGAAUCUUUCACAAUGGGGGCAACCCUGAUGGAGCGACGCCGCGUGGAGGAUAAGGUCUUCGGAUUGUAAACUCCUGUCAUGCGUGAACAAGGUUGCUUGGUUAAUACCUGGGCAAAUUGAUGGUAACGCAAGAGGAAGAGACGGCUAACUCUGUGCCAGCAGCCGCGGUAAUACAGAGGUCUCAAGCGUUGUUCGGAAUCACUGGGCGUAAAGGGUGCGUAGGUGGCGUGGUAAGUCAGAUGUGAAAGCCCGGGGCUCAACCUCGGAACUGCAUCCGAGACUGCCAUGCUAGAGUACUGGAGAGGUGACUAGAAUUCUCGGUGUAGCAGUGAAAUGCGUAGAUAUCGAGAGGAAUACCAAAGGCGUAGGCAGGUCACUGGACAGUUACUGACACUGAGGCACGAAGGCCAGGGGAGCGAACGGGAUUAGAAACCCCGGUAGUCC